GGUAGAGAAGGAGGAGAAGAGGGAGGAGGAGGAGGAGGUAGAGGAGCGAUUUUAUUUAUUGAUGCUGUGUUAGGAUGCUAUUCAUUGAUGUUAUAUUUUGGUGGUUUAUAAUCAUCUGGCAUGUUGAUAACACUAUAUGGCUCUUGACUUUGUAUCCAGUUUUUAGCCUUGUACUGUAUAUAUUUUACUCUUGUUUUAAUCUAUAUCUUAAUGUAUAUUUCAUGUAUAUUUAAUGUAUGUCUUUUACCCUUGAAUUUUAAUCUGCUGCUUUUUUAAACGACAUUUCUCCUCAGGGAUUAACAAAAUACCUGUCUAACUAUGGGCCUUUCUAGCUCAGACAAGACUUACUUCUUACCAAUCUGAUUAACCAAUAAGGCCCGAGAGUGUACCACGGCUAAGAGCUGAAUCCAGGCACUCUGUGUUGCGUCGUGCCUACGAACAGCCCCUAGCCGUGGUAUAUUGGCCGUAUAUCACAUACACCUGAGGUGCAUUAUUGCUGUUAUAAACUGGUUACCAACUCAAUUAAAGCAGUAAAAAUAAAUGUUUUGUCAUAUCCGUGGUAUACGGUCUGAUAUACCAUGGCUUUCAACCAAUCAGCAUUCAGGGCUCGAACCACCCAGUUUAUAACACUGUAUAUAUCUCUAUAUAACUAGGAGGAGGAGAAGGGUGGGAGGGAGCAGCUGGAGCCUCUGUCUGAGGAGCAGGAGCUGGAAGAGUUGAGGAGUCAGGUGCUGCAGCUCCUCCUGGAGUUAGAAGGGGCCCGGGAGAUAUCCAACAAACACCAGGAGGCUUUCCACGAGCUGCAGGGCUCAUCCUGUCAUGACCCUCCAGCAUGACAAUGCCACCAGCCAUACUGCUCGUUCUGUGCAUGAAUUCCUGCAAGACAGGAAUGUCAGUGUUCUGCCAUGGCCAGCGAAUAGCCCGGAUCUCAAUCCCAUUGAGCACGUCUAGGACCUGUUGGAUCGGAGGGCUAGGGCCAGAAAUCCCCGCCGGAAAUAUCUGGGAACUUGCAGGUGCCUUGGUGGAAGAGUGGGGUAACAUCUCACAGCAAGAACUGGCAAAUCUGGUACAGUCCAUGAUGCACUGCAGUACUUAACGCAGCUGGUGGCCACACCAGAUACUGACUGUUACUUUUGAUUUUGACCCCACUUUGUUCAGGGACACAUUAUUCCAUUUCUGUUAGUCACAUGUCUGUGGAACUUGUUCAGUUUAUUUCUCAGUUGUUGAAUCUUGUUAUGUUCAUACAAAUAUUUACAAUAUUGUUAAGUUUACUGAAAAUAAACACAGUUGACAGUGA